GACGAGUCGAGAAAAGAACGCGAGAUGCGGAUAUUUUUGAGAUAGAGGACACCUGCUUUUAAUAGCAAGCACGGGAAGUGCCGGCGUUGGGAUCGCCCUGAUGUGAACAGGUAGCGCCCACA
rnacentral:sRNA from 1 species